CCUACGGGUGGCAGCAGUGAGGAAUAUUGGUCAAUGGACGAGAGUCUGAACCAGCCAAGUAGCGUGAAGGAUGACUGCCCUAUGGGUUGUAAACUUCUUUUAUAUGGGAAUAAAAUGUUCCACGUGUGGGAUUUUGUAUGUACCAUAUGAAUAAGGAUCGGCUAACACCGUGCCAGCAGCCGCGGUAAUACGGAGGAUCCGAGCGUUAUCCGGAUUUAUUGGGUUUAAAGGGAGCGUAGGUGGAUUGUUAAGUCAGUUGUGAAAGUUUGCGGCUCAACCGUAAAAUUGCAGUUGAAACUGGCAGUCUUGAGUACAGUAGAGGUGGGCGGAAUUCGUGGUGUAGCGGUGAAAUGCUUAGAUAUCACGAAGAACUCCGAUUGCGAAGGCAGUUCACUGGACUGCAACUGACACUGAGGCUCGAAAGUGUGGGUAUCAAACAGGAUUAGAUACCCUAGUAGUC
rnacentral:rRNA from 1 species